UUUGUUCAGGACGAUGCCCCGUGGGUAAGAGAACAUCCACGUGUGCGUGUGUGUGUGUGUGUGUGAGAGAGAGAGAGAGAGAGAGAUAACGAGUGGUUCUCUCUGGAGUGAGAUUAAAGGUCAUUUUUAUUUUCUAUUUCCAGCUUUUCAAGUCCAGUUAAAAAGAAAAGAAAGGCCUUUUUCUCGCCGGGCCUCCAGGGACCCUGGGGGUCCGUGCAUCUCUGUGGUCCGCUGGAAGGCCUGUCUUUUGAGGUUUUUCUAAGCACGGGCAAGGUGACCGCUGGGGAGCAGCGGGGGGCAGAGGACGCUGGAGCAAGGACAGUUAACGAUUGUGAGACGGAGAGCAAACAACACUUUCCCCUGUGCACAGGUGGACCCCGAGCCUCACUAGAAGCUUCCUCGGUUGGCCCCUGGGUCUGCUUCCCUGCUGGAGAGGCUGGGUGCCUGGUGGUGGGGGUGGGGGGGUGGGGGGACCAUCCCCCCUCACUCCCUAAGUCUCUUAGCCACCUGGAUUCUUCUCAGACUCUUAGCAAAUGCAGGGGGCAAACUUCUGAGCAAGAGCUGGAAGGCCCCAGCUGAGUGGUUUGGGGGUGGUCUCAGGGUGGUUUGGGGGAUGGUGCGACCUGGGAGCUCCCCUCUUCCCCAGCAGAUGGCCCUGCCUGGGAGCCCCGUGGGGGUGGGGGGCAGUGACCUCAGAGUGACUGAUUACUCCUUGUUCUCUUCCUCCCUCCCUCCCCUUUCCCUCCCUCCCAGCCUCAAGAAGACUCAUCUGGAGGUGAGACCUGGCCAUGGGCCCCAAUUAGAGUGUACACACCUCAUAUGCCAGCAAACAACAUCUUCACACCGGAAAUGGCACACAGCUGAAUGGAGUCACGUCACCAGUUCGGGCAACUGUCCCCUCCGUUCCCAGGCUGCCCCCGGGAAGCCUGCUCACCCACAGCACAAUCAGGCGACAGCUGACUCAUACGGGGCCACGUGGAGGCGCAGACGCAAAAGCCAGCCUCAUGGUGAACAGCCGCGCAGACCCCCCCGAGCACAGGGUCGCUGACCUUCUGACUUCAACGAGUGGACUCGGUUGAAAAAGUUGAACAGCAAACACUUCAAAGCUAAGAGCGCGCUCUUUCACCCAGGUGCACAGUGCAUUUCAAGUGACGACACUGAACACUACGAUGGGAGUUUGGAACGGGACUUCACCGACUUGCUCGUGCAUUGUCCGUUCCAGCACAACAAAUGCACUUGGGCAGGCCUGGCCCCGCCCCCGUGCCCAGAUGGGCCCGUUUCUACAGAUAAGCCUAUUUACAUACACAUACACGCAUCCCUGCAGCGGAAGGAGCCACAGAGACCACGUAGCACAACGUCCUCGUGUCCCGGAUGGGAAGGCUCCGGGAAGUCGGGCGACCACCCAGAGCCACAGGUCCACCAUCGGCACAGCGGUGAGAACCCAGGCCCCCCCGUCCCGCGUGCCACACCCACACCAUGCCACAUACCUCCUGUACACAUGCAUCCCCGUCCGCCCCGUGCACACACGCGUCAGUACACAGUGUGGGGUGUGCUCGCCUGUGCACACACCCGCUGCAGCAGCACCUCGUGGGAAGGGUCCAGGGUGCUGGACCCGGGUCCCAGAGCUGCUAGAAAACUUUUCUCCGUGGACUCGGGCCGAUCUGCUGACUUCAGUUUCUCCAUCGGCACACGAUUCUCCUCGGCCCCUAACAGGGCUGUAAUUUCUUCCAAGCACUUCUCACCGGUUGCACCAGUUUCUCUCCGCACUCUCCCGGGGAGCGGCCAUGGUGACCCCCGGCCUUCCCUCAGGGAGCCCGAGGCUCAGCAAAGUCAAGCGGCUUGCCCAUGGUCGCACAGCAGGUGAGGGCCUGCUCAGGCCUGUCACCUCCUGUCCUCACCCCUGGCUCAAGGCUUCCCCCCUACAUUUAGCUGCCCGUCAGAGGAGACCGGGACCCCAGCCACUCCCUGCCUCCAGACACCCAGUGCUGGGACAAGACGCUGUAAGUGUUACGGGUUGUAAGACUCACUAAAGUGCUUUGGUUUCUCCAGAAAAAAAAAAGUAUUAUAUAUAUAUAUGCAUGGGAA